rnacentral:rRNA from 1 species
CCCUUAGAUGUUCGGGGCUGCACGCGCGCUACAAUGAAGAAAUCAACGUGUCAGCUCCCUGCCUCGAGAGGGGUGGGUAAUCCGUUGAACCUUCUUCGUGCUAGGGAUUGGGGCUUGUAAUUCUUCCCCAUGAACGAGGAAUUCCCAGUAAGCGCAAGUCAACAGCUUGCGUUGAUUACGUCCCUGCCCUUUGUACACACCGCCCGUCGCUACUACUGAUUGGAUGUUUAAGCGAGGUUCUCGAACUGCUAGCGACUUAGCUUCGGUGAGGUCGCAGUGUGGGAAGUGAACCUAGCUUUGGUGUCUAGAGGAAGUAAAAGUCGUAACA